rnacentral:rRNA from 1 species
AACGAACGCUGGCGGCAGGCUUAACACAUGCAAGUCGAACGCGUGUAGCAAUACACGAGUGGCGCACGGGUGAGUAACGCGUGGAUAUCUGCCUUUUGGUUCGGAAUAACCCCGGGAAACUGGGGCUAAUACCGGAUGGUUCCUACGGGAUAAAGAUUUAUCGCCAAAAGAUGAGUCCGCGUACGAUUAGCUAGUUGGUGAGGUAAUGGCUCACCAAGGCGACGAUCGUUAGCUGGUCUGAGAGGACGAUCAGCCACACUGGGACUGAGACACGGCCCAGACUCCUACGGGAGGCAGCAGUGGGGAAUAUUGGACAAUGGGCGAAAGCCUGAUCCAGCAAUGCCGCGUGGAUGAAGAAGGUCUUCGGAUUGUAAAGUCCUUUCGACGGGGACGAUGAUGACGGUACCCGUAGAAGAAGCCCCGGCUAACUUCGUGCCAGCAGCCGCG